GAUUCCGUGGCCCAGUGGUUAGCACCUUUGACUCGUGAGCAAGCGCUCCGGGUUCAAUUCCUGGUGGAGUCU
rnacentral:tRNA from 1 species